UUACCAGGACGCCCUGGUGUUCUGGCGGGUUUUUAGAUGACAAAUCCUCUCCAAAGAGGCGGUUCAGAGACCAGCCGUGAAGUGGUGUUUCCAUCUUGCGUGUCAACUCUUCGGUAACGUGGGCCGGUGGGGUGGUUUGAUACCUGAACACGCUCUAAAGGAGCUUGAUGUUGGACAAACUCCUGAACUGCUACCUGAAUGAUGACACUACUCAACGAGACCCCAUCUCAGGACUCUGUCCAUAAAUGCAAAAAGGUCGCGGCGUGUUUUCCUCAGUCCUGGUUUUAAGACGUGAGCUCCUGUCCCUCUCACCUGAAGUCCUUCAGUGACCAUCUCCUCCAGACAGCCCAUUCAGUAUACAAACAACAGCCUGACCACCCCAACAGACGGCCCGUGGUGAGCGACGUGCUAACUUUUCUGGGAAGCAUCAAGGCCUGGGACAAGGUAUUGACGAUAUCAGACAAAUACCAUUACAAAGACCUGGUGUCCUAGUGUGUCCUACUGUGUCAACCAUACAUCAUGUAAUAUUUGUUGUAAUUUUGUACAUUACACAACUGUAUUUCUACUUAUUUUUAUAUAUAUAUAAAUAAAUGUAGAUGUUUGGUCCAGUUCCCCUCCAAACUGUUUUUGUUUCUGUCUUACCUCUUUCAGAAAAAGUCUGUGCUUGUAACUUCAUCCCAAGGGCUGAGUAUGCAUAAGUCUUAGUGUGUACAUGAGGAGAAAACAACUUACAGUAUGUAGUGGUAGUGGAGUUUUUUUAUUGACGUGUGCACAUUGUAUCACGGGUGGCCGGCAGAUGGCGCUAUUUUUCCUUUUAGGUCAUUUGUCUACGUCCAACUGGAAUCUAUGCAGCCGGCUAUACACUCGUAUCCCCCCCAGCGCCCGGCU
ensembl:lncRNA